UUGCGUAGGUGGAUGAAUAAGUGAAUAGUGAAAGCCGAUGGCUCAACCAUUUGGACUAUUAUUCAAACUGUUCGUCCCGAGAGUAGCAGAGGUAACUGGAAUUUCUUGUGUAGGAGUGGAAUCCGUAGAUAUAAGAAGGAACACCAAUGGCGUAGGCAGGUUACUGGGCUAUUUCUGACACUAAGGCACGAAAGCGUGGGGAGCGAACG
rnacentral:rRNA from 1 species